UAGGGAAUAUUGCACAAUGGGGGAAACCCUGAUGCAGCAAUGCCGCGUGAAGGAAGAAGUAUUUCGGUAUGUAAACUUCUAUCGAUGGGGAAGAAAAAAAUGACGGUACCCAAGUAAGAAGCCCCGGCUAACUAUGUGCCAGCAGCCGCGGUAAUACAUAGGGGGCAAGCGUUAUCCGGAAUUACUGGGUGUAAAGGGUGCGUAGGCGGUUAUGUAAGUCAGAUGUGAAAACCCGAGGCUUAACCAUGGGAAUGCAUUUGAAACUAUGUAACUAGAGUACAGGAGAGGUAAGUGGAAUUCCUAGUGUAGCGGUAAAAUGCGUAGAUAUUAGGAAGAACACCAGUGGCGAAGGCGACUUACUGGA
rnacentral:rRNA from 1 species